rnacentral:ncRNA from 1 species
AACUAUGCAAUGAAGAAGACAAUAGUCAAUAUAUAUUAUAUAAGCGAGCUAGGGAUGGUGAGAGCCUGGUAUAAUGAAUUGAUGAAGGGCACUUCUGAGCAUAUAUUAUGAGAGAAUACCUUUUAAAGGUAUUAAGUAGGGUGGAACCGCGGAAGUUACCUUUCGUCCCUAUA